rfam:Rhizoclosmatium globosum strain JEL800 BCR33scaffold_105, whole genome shotgun sequence.
ACAACCCUCUCAAGCCUUUCUGGCUAAGAUCAAGUGUAGUAUCUGUUCUAUUUAGUGUGAUAACUAAAUCUGCGUGCGCCGCACGUAUUCCUAUUAUCACAAAUAUUUUUGAAUUUCUCCUGUGGAUUCUGUGUGCUCGCACCAGACCCGGGAACUGGUGUCGCUGGCUUUACACUGCCGCUUGUUGAAGCUGAAUACAC